rnacentral:rRNA from 1 species
CAUGUAGGCGGCUUAUCAAGCGCUUUGUGAAACCCCUCGGCUCAACCGAGGAAUUGCUUGGCGAACUGAUAGGCUUGAGGCAGGCAGGGGCAAGUGGAACUCUUGGUGGAGCGGUGGAAUGCGUAGAUAUCAAGAGGAACGCCAGAGGCGAAGGCGACUUGCUGGGCCUGAUCUGACGCUGAGAUGCGAAAGCCAGGGGAGCGAACAGGAUUAGAUACCCUGGUAGUCC